rnacentral:rRNA from 1 species
GAUGAACGCUAGCUACAGGCUUAACACAUGCAAGUCGAGGGGAAACGACAUCGAAAGCUUGCUUUUGAUGGGCGUCGACCGGCGCACGGGUGAGUAACGCGUAUCCAACCUGCCCAUCACUUGGGGAUAACCUUGCGAAAGUAAGACUAAUACCCAAUGACAUCCCACGAAGACAUCUGAAUGGGAUUAAAGAUUUAUCGGUGAUGGAUGGGGAUGCGUCUGAUUAGCUUGUUGGCGGGGUAACGGCCCACCAAGGCAACGAUCAGUAGGGGUUCUGAGAGGAAGGUCCCCCACAUUGGAACUGAGACACGGUCCAAACUCCUACGGGAGGCAGCAGUGAGGAAUAUUGGUCAAUGGGCGAGAGCCUGAACCAGCCAAGUAGCGUGCAGGAUGACGGCCCUAUGGGUUGUAAACUGCUUUUAUAAGGGAAUAAAGUGGGUCUCGUGAGACUUUUUGCAUGUACCUUAUGAAUAAGGACCGGCUAAUUCCGUG